rnacentral:lncRNA from 1 species
GUCCCGCCUGGCGUCUCCCUUGGCACGUGUCGGUGCCUGCUGUGUGCACCAAGCAGGUUUCACAUCGGUUUAAUUUCUUAAUCAAAACGCCACGUGAUACCGAGUCAAAAGUCUUCCAGGAAGUGGUGUCUUACGUCCGCCCUGUUGUCUUUCUCCACCAAACCUGUAGUCUCAUCAGAGAGCGUUUUAGUCCAAAAAGGUCUGUUUUCCGUAGCCUCGCGGGCACGUGUCGGUGCCUGCUGUGUGCACCAAGCAGGUUUCACAUCGGUUUAAUUUCUUAAUCAAAACGCCACGUGAUACCGAGUCAAAAGUCUUCCAGGAAGUGGUGUCUUACGUCCGCCCUGUUGUCUUUCUCCACCAAACCUGUAGUCUCAUCAGAGAGCGUUUUAGUCCAAAAAGGUCUGUUUUCCGUAGCCUCGCGUUGGACCAUCCGCAUUGUCCUUCUUCCGCCGGCGUCCUGCGGCAGACGUCCCUAACCGGGUCCGGGGCGGGUGCCGUGCCGCGGUGCGCGCCCCCCAGCUCGUCCCUCCAGCUCCACUCCCCUGGCAUUUCCUUGAAGCCUAGUUUUUCCUGCAGUGCAGCCUGGCAGCUUAGUGGUUUCUUGACUCACUCUUUGAAACUCUGGCACAAGAUGUCUGGAUGUGUUGAUUUCUGGCAAGGUCUAACUUUAGUUACUGCAGUAAAACUUCACCCAUGUCGGAAUGGGAAGCUUAUCGUUGUAUGAUAUAAAUACAUCUGACUGGUUCCUAAAAUACAUUCAGGGGAUACAUCUGCCGCCUCCUGCAUUAUUGCUGACAGCGUUAUGUUCAGCUAGCCCCGGACUUGUUCUUUUCAUUCUUAAGGUGUUUGAAAAGUGCCCAGGACUGCUGCCUGAGAACUAUCCUUGCGAUUCCCGUAUUGGCUUUCUGCCCAUCCUGCUGCUCCUAGGCCAACUCCUGGACUGUGGUGAGCUCUUCCUGGCCUUUGCGCCCUCCUUGGUCGUGAGACGGUCGCGGGCAUCUGCUGCGCCUCCCGGAGCAGUCCCCGGCGCUCUCGGCUCCUGAUGUGACUCAGGCGAGCUUUGCGCCGCUGCUUGUGAAGCUGCAGGUUUGCGCGUGCCGGCCGCGUCCUACAGAGCAGCCAGAUCGCGGUGAGGCGCGUGCGAGGCGUUGGGCUGCCCACGGCGAGGGCACGUGCCCUGGUGAGCAGAGCUUGGAGCCGUGCCGCCGGCCUGGGCCUGUCUCGGCAGAGGUCCCUG